GUAGCUGUAGCCCUGGGCCACUCUGAAGCAGGACAGUUAGCGUUCCGUAAUCUGAGUGUGGUGGCAUACCUAAUGUGAGGUCUGGUUCAGGACAAGCUGGAUAGCAAUUAAUGGCCAUUAGUUGAUUGCCUUCUUCAAUUUCCUUCUGUAAGUUGCCAAAGUUCAAUCCUAAAGUUUCUAAGAUGGCUUCCAUCAGUUGCUUGUGUAGCACUUGUACUGCCUUUGCGUAGUUUCCCAUUUUAUCCCUUAGGGAAAAAAUAGUUUAAAGUCAAUGCAUCACAAUAGUUUGAGAAUGAUUGGAAAUGCAUAAAAAACGGAAACCAUGUGUUGCUUCAACAGAAAAGAAAAAAAGACAAAAGGAGAAGCUAUAAUUUGUCUUUUCUAUUUCCUCUUUUGUUGUUUCUUCCUUCUGGAAGAUUUGGAAGGCAUGCAUUAUAGUUCUUAGACCUAGAAGCUGCCAAUUUUAGCCACAUUUAAGACUUAUGCUUAUGAAGUACCAAUCAGAAUUGCUCCUCUUGUGUUGUUUCCAAUUUUGCCCUUAAGAUGGAAGGUAAUUGCUUCUAACAAAUAAUUUAAGAGAUCCAAGAUAAUGAUGGCUUGCUUACUUGUAACUUGGAGGAUUUGAAGGCCAUAGAUGGAUCCAAUCAGAAAUAGGGUGGGAGUAAUGCUUGAUGAAGUCUCUCCAAUAGUGAACUUUAUCGCUUGCAUGAUUCAAACUAGUACCAUACCUUACGGGGUUAUGCACAUUAUCUGAUAAUAGAGACAUUUUCUCCUCGAGAGACAAGUUGAAAAACUCUGUUGCAGCAGCAAGGGCGUCAUGGAUGACGGGGAGAGGGAUGCCAUGGUUAACCACCUAAAAAAAAAAUGUGCGUGCUUUUAUGUGGACAAUAUUAUAUUAGCAUGCAUGAAUUAUGAUGUCUUGCUAUUAUAUGUAAUAUAAAUUGUAUUGAAGCUUUUUCAGUAAGCAAGCAUCCCCCAUAUAUAUGUUGUGCUUUGUUGUCUGGGGUGUCAAGUAGAACAUAUAUGGUAUAACUGUAAAUUUUCAAUUUAAACUCAUACACCCACAUACAUAUUGUGUGAUUCAGUUGGAAUGCUAAACCGAUAAACACACAAAAUAACAUUCAUAACAUCUAUCUAAUAUAUGCUGAAAAAAAUACAGUUACACUAAUGUAGACUUGGGGCUACAGUAAACUAAACUUGCUAACCCUGAAUGAUACCUGAAAGAACCCAAGUUCCUUACAGGCGCCUUGUAUAGUAUCAAGUGUUAGAGACCUUUGAGAAGCGUGGUGUAAGGUGGAAAGGUCUAUAAUGGGAAGGGUUGUGGUGAGGUCAAGUGUAAGGUUCGGACGUUGCGAUGGAGGAAGAACAUAGCGUUGAGGCACAUGAGGUACCCUCAUCUUGGUAAGUGUCAUUACACUAGUAAAUAGGUUAUCCGAGCAUUCUCCCUCUCCUUCCAUACUUUGAAAUAUCUUUGCUAGUAAAUAGCGAAUGAUCAGUUUUAGCAGCCUGUUCUUCCUAUUUAUAUGCUAGACGUAACUAUCAGGUUAUGUACAGUUGCAAUGAAUAUUGAUAUGGAGCUGUGAUCUUAAACAUUAUAUGUUGCGUGUUCAUAAAUGCGCAGGAAAGAAGAAUAUAGCAAGAGAAGCCACAGAAGAACUUUAAGCAUGAGGGCGUGAAAAGGACAAAGGUGAACGCGGGACCCACGCGAAAACGCUAUGAUGUUAAACCUGAAUGGGUACCGAAAACAAAGUCGCUGUACAUUUGGGGGCUGUGACACCCACACACGCAAUUAUGGAGCUUGAAGAAGUUUUUAGUAUAUCACCAUAUUUAUAAACGUCAGACAUGAGGCAUUUGUUCAUGUGGAAACUAGUGGAAGAAUUAAAAUAUUUAUAUAUUUUUUAACUUAUUCUGGUAUGAUAUACUGAUGUAGUUAACAUUGAAUUUGUAUCAAUUCUAUGCUGCUGCG
rnacentral:lncRNA from 1 species